UCGAGAAUAAUUCACAAUGGGGGCAACCCUGAUGGUGCAACGCCGCGUGGAGGAUGACGGUCUUCGGAUUGUAAACUCCUGUCAUCUGGGAGUAAGGCAUGGUUGUUAAUAGCAAACAUGAUUGAUAGUACCAGAAGAGGAAGGGACGGCUAACUUCGUGCCAGCAGCCGCGGUAAUACGAAGGUCCCAAGCGUUGUUCGGAAUCACUGGGCGUAAAGGGAGCGUAGGAGGCGUGGUAAGUCAGAUGUG
rnacentral:rRNA from 1 species